ACCGCCCGUCACACCAUGGGAGUGGGUCCACCAGAAGCCGGUCGCUUAACCCGCAAGGGAUGGCGCCGACCACGGUGAGAUUCAUGACUGGGGUG
rnacentral:rRNA from 1 species